GGAGGCUACUGUAAGGUACUUUACAACCUGGCAUGAGGAAAUAUUCUUUGUUUUUAAGAUCUUGGAUCUUUGAACCAGGUAAUUACUUCACAACAAAAGAGUCAUUCAGACAUUAAAUUAAGGUCUUAUUCUUUUCAGAAUGAUUAUUAUUCUUUCAGAAUGUCAAUUAGCACUUAGAUUUAGCACUUGGUGAGUCAAAGGUUUAGUAACAGCCAGGCAUUAUGGCAAAAGCCUAUAAUCACAGUACUCUGUGAGGCUGAGGCAGGAGGAUCACAAAUUCAAGCCCAGCCCCAGCAACUCAGCGACUUAUUGAGGCUCUGUCUCAAAAUAAAAUGAAAAGGAGGACUGGGGAUUUAGCUCAGUGCCACCACACCCACCACACAAGCACAAGUUCCUGAGUUUGAUCCCUAGUACUGGGGGGAAAAAUCUGAAAAGGAAGGGAGGGUUUUGGGUAUAGCUCCAUGCAAAGGCCCUGGGUUCUGUCUCUAGUACUCCCCCCCACCCCCCCAAAAAAGACCUUUUGGUCACACACCUGUAAUCCCAGCACUCGGGAGGCUGAGGCAGGAGGAUCACUAUGAGUUCGAGACCAGCCUGGACUACAUAGUGAGUUCCAGGUCAGUCUCAACUACAUAGUGAGACCCUGUCUCAAACAAACAAACAAACAAACAAAAUAAGCAAGUAAAAAAAGACCUUUGGCAAGGGAACCAUAGUGAUCAAGAUGUGACACUUAGUUUGAGUAACAAGAAUAAUAUUUUAUAUGAACUAUUUUUUGGGAGGUACCAGGGACAGAACUUGGGACCUUGCGCUUGCAAGGCAGGCAGCAGCACCACUGAGCUAAAUCCUUGGCCUAAACUAUUAUUUUAUUUGUUUUAAUAGAACAGUCUUGACGUCAGCUUGUGUUAUCUUAGAAUGCUAUAACCUGGGUUUGUCUCAUGCAGUUGAAGAAUGACUUGAAGGAUAAAAGAAGGAGAAAGGAGGAGUGCUUGCUAAGAAGAGAGAAACAGCCCCCAGUAGUCAGGAAACUGGAUUGCCACCGGGCUCUUUGUCCAGCAGUUUUCAUACUAAACAAUAACUGGGGCUCAACCAUUAGGACUAAAGCCAGCUCACUGGGCCAGGGAUGGAGCUCAGUGGUUCCUCACCUGCCCGGUGUGUCUACCUUGGAAGCUCGGGUGUUUGUCAAGGGCCCUUAUAAAAACCCAAAAGAAGAGACAACAGCUGAGUCACUCAGCAGUCUGCAUCCUGAGGGCUCUAAGUCGUCCAAGUCUCCCAGCUGCUACCAAGGGUUAGGGAGCUGCUGCUCAACACAGCCAUUUCUUGUUACUUCUUUUCCUUUGGUCUCUUUUCUUCCUGAUCAUAAAAAUAGUAAUUGGCAGCUAUUUCAAAGGUGUUAAAUAGUUUAAAAUAUACAAAGAAGAAAAAAAAAUCACC
rnacentral:lncRNA from 1 species